rnacentral:misc_RNA from 1 species
UCCGGGGUUUCCCCGGCAGUCUCCUAUGAGUGCUCGGCAUAACCCGGUGGCAACAUAGGACGAGGGUUGCGCUCGUUGCGGGACUUAACCCAACACCUCACGGCACGAGCUGACGACGGCCAUGCAACACCUGUCCCGGUUCCCGACUUUACGGGUCGGCAACCCUUUCAAGCGCCUACUUCCGGAAUGUCAAACCCAGGUAAGGUUCUUCGCUUUGCAUCGAAUUAAGCAACGCGCUCCGCCGCUUGUGCGGGCCCCCGUCAAUUCCUUUGAGUUUUAGCCUUGCGGCCGUACUCCCCAGGCGGCGGACUUAAUGCGUUAGCUUCGGCACGGAGGCCAUGACAGCCCCCACACCUAGUCCGCACCGUUUACAGCCAGGACUAC